rnacentral:piRNA from 1 species
UGGUAGGGACGCGACCUACAUGGUGUAACCU